GCAGUUCCUUCUUCCUAGUUCAAGAAAACGUUUGGAAAUUCAGACGAGGCUGGCACACAAGGAAAAUUUUAAUGUUCGAAACCACACUUCCCAGUAGGAAUUAGGACAUGGCAAGCACUGAGGUUCACCAGGAGACGGGAAAAUCCUUGCAUCAUGCUGAUCUCCAGUUUCGGGAUGGUUACCAGCUCGUAUAACAGCUUGAUAAAGAGCACGUGAUCUUCUUU